CUAAGUUCAACUCAUAUCAAAAACAUUUAAAACAUUAAUUGAAUAUCAACCACACAUACACAUUAACUAUAUGAAAUAUGUACAAUAACUUAACAAGCCAUUUUCGCAUGGCUAUACGAAUAUACAAUACCAAAAAGAUACUUAAUUAACAACAAAAGUCAGUCCUAUACAUGCCAUUAACAAAGUUCAGCUACAAAAGUACCGAAUGAGCUUAGAUAAUGCGGAUGACUUCGACUUUGAAACUCCCGAGAACGAUAGCUAACGAAUAAGAUCUAUAAAACAAGGAAUCAAGGCAACAAAGUGAGCAUAAUGAAGCUUAGUAAGUCUUAAGUAAUUCGAACAGAUAAAAACUUAACAUGUAAAUCAACAUUACGAAAUAAUAAACUCGAAAUCAAGUUUAUACCCCUUGCCCGAAAACACAUAUUUAUAUAUAUGCCAACACAAAGAAAUUUACGACCUAAACCUCGAUCAUCAACAUGGAUUAUAUAAUUAAUAUAAUCGUAUACUUUCAUAUAAAUAAAGACAUCAUCCGAAAUGGUUAUUCUCAUAUUCAUAGAUUCGGUAUUCAUCCAUACAUAUAUCUAUACACACAUAUGUAUAUUCCAUUCCUUGUUAAAGGUACUUCAAUCUAAAGGUGGUUUCACUUAUGUGUACGAAUUACGUACCUGAUUUUCAUACUGUAUAGUACAUAAUUAAUAGCAGUCAUCCCGUCCAUUUAAUUCAUAACCUUACUCGAAUUAUCAAGUUAAGCCUGCUAGGCUAAAACCCAAGUCCAGUCACUAGCACAAAGUCUUCGGGACUUUAGGCCCGGAUAUAAUUCCAGCACAUAGCCUGCGGACCUGAAGUCCGGAUAUAAUUCCAGCACAUUGCCUGCGGACCUGAAGUCCAGAUAUAAUUCCAGCACAUUGCCUGCGGACAUGAAGUCCGGAUAUAAUUCCAGCACAUUGCCUGCGGACCUGAAGUCCAGAUAUAAUUCCAGCACAUUGCCUGCGGACCUGAAGUCCGGAUAUAAUUCCAGCACAUUGCCUGUGGACCUGAAGUCCGGAUAUAAUUCUAGCACAUUUAAUUAUGAUCAUACUUUGACACAUCUUAGCCAUCAUAUUACAUUCGAAUACCAAUUCAAAUUGCACUUCAUCAAUCACAUUUCAACUCAAUGGUUAUCUUCUUAUAUUACUCACUCUAUUUUUCAUUAAAUCUUAAAUUCAAAGUGAUCAUCAGUCUAAAAGACAUAUACAUGCAUUAUCCAUUAUACAUUUUAGUUCAAGUAUAAGUCAAAGAUUGAAUUUAUAUAAUAUACUCUUAUAAUGGCGUAAUUAAUUAUAUACUAAAGGAAGAUACUUAAAACUUACCUCGGAUAUUUUGAAUAGUUGCGGAUAGACUACUCGAUUGCUUUUUCUUUCCCUUUAUCUGAUUUUGACCCUCUUAGCUCUUGAGCUUGAUUCAAACAAAUAGAUCUUAUUUAAUAACUUAUCAAAUUAGCUAUUCGAUUAAAUACAUGUAUAUUAUACAAUUAAGUGCGAAUGAUUUUAUUAACUAGUUAUUCAAGCAUUAUACAUAUGCUCUACUCAUGCACUAUCGAACAUAAUACUAGCUUAAUACCUUGCAUAUUCGAAUUUCAUAGACAUCAUUUAGUUUCACAUAAUACACAUAUUGUCCCAAAUCGACACAAGAGUCAAAUGCAUCACUCAAAAUGCCGAAAUCCAAUUAAGUCUACCAUUAUAGCAUUAUCAUAUUUAUGUACUUGGUAAGUUGCGUUUGAACACAUUCGGCACUAGGUGUCCAACCAAAUAUUCCUUGAACACUAAACUCAAUUUAUAACCUUUCCUAAUUAAAACAUUUAACACCGACUAGACAUGUUUACAAGCCUAAGCUGAAUAUUAUUUUAGACAUUCGAGAAAUCGUUUCUCAACUCAACUAAAUUUUGUAUAUCACACUCAAAUAUUCACACUAGUUUAUUUUAACAUUAUAGCUGAAACCCUCAAUUGGCUAACACAACCUCUUAAUUCAAUAUAAACACGCAUACAUAUAUAUAUACAACCUAAAUCCCUUUCUUAACUCGUAAUUCACUAACUUGGGAGUUAUUUUCUAACAAAUUUUAACUUACUCUAAUACCGAAUGCUACUCAAGCUUUAAGCUCAUGUCCUUUCAUUAUUAAGCAAAUGUUAUAACAUAACUAACAUCCCUUUUUCAAUUUGAACAAUCAACAUAUAAAGAAAUUAAACACAAAGAUUCAUAGCCGAAACCUAUACAUAACAUCAUUCAAGGUUUAAUCCCCUAAAUUCAUUCACAAAGCCGAACCUAUUGAGAGAUGUAUAUAAAACAAUAUCUAGUUAGUACAUUCAAGCACCCACGGCAUUCCCUUCAAUUUAACACUAAGACAAACCAAAAGAUUUAUUCAUGUAAAUUCAAAAAUUUCAAGUUCAUCUCUUUCACAUAUAAAUACCAAAAAUUAAGUAUUUACUAGCUUAAACUCUAUUAAACCUUAAAACAUCAAUCUAUCCCCUAUCAUUUUCCCCCAUGGCCGAAUGCUCAAGACACCAUAAAACUAAAAAUUUUGUCAUGGGCUAUGUAAUGAACUUAAUAUCUAACUUAAAAUAUGCUAAAAAUCCAUAAGCUAACAUGAAUUUCUCACCUUAUUUAUGGCUUAGAAUCACCGAAUGGUUGCUCCCUUUUUCCCUCUUAGAAUCGGCCAAGAAGAAACAAGAAUAAAGACUUGUUUCUUUCAC
rnacentral:lncRNA from 1 species